rnacentral:lncRNA from 1 species
GAAUCAAAGGAAAUUGAAGUCUAGCUUUAAUCCUUAUUCUUGGAAAAUAAGGAUAUAUUGCCUUCUUUUCCAAGGAUCAAAUCUCUUGGGUUGCCAUCUCUUCACAUGAAAGAUUCAAGUCUUGACUCUAUAAAAAGGCUUCAUACUGCAAGUGAAGAAAUUGUACAAUGAGUCUGGAUCAUCUCACUACUCCCUACUCUACUUUU